AUUGAACGCUGGCGGCAGGCCUAACACAUGCAAGUCGAGCGGAUGAAGGGAGCUUGCUUCUGGAUUCAGCGGCGGACGGGUGAGUAAUGCCCAGGAAUCUGCCUGGUAGUGGGGGAUAACGUCCGGAAACGGGCGCUAAUACCGCAUACGUCCUGUGGGAGAAAGUGGGGGAUCUUCGGACCGCACGCUAUCAGAUGAGCCUAGGUCGGAUUAGCUAGUUGGUGGGGUAAAGGCCUACCAAGGCGACGAUCCGUAACUGGUCUGAGAGGAUGAUCAGUCACACUGGAACUGAGACACGGUCCAGACUCCUACGGGAGGCACCAGUGGGGAAUAUUGGACAAUGGGCGAAAGCCUGAUCCAGCCAUGCCGCGUGUGUGAAGAAGGUCUUCGGAUUGUAAAGCACUUUAAGUUGGGAGGAAGGGCAGUAAGUUAAUACCUUGCUGUUUUGACGUUACCAACAGAAUAAGCACCGGCUAACUUCGUG
rnacentral:rRNA from 1 species